UCUUUUUUUUUUUUUUUUUUUUUAAAGAUUUAUUUUAUUAUUAAUAUAUGUAAGUACACUGUAGCUGUCUUCAGACACUCCAGAAGAGGGAGUCAGAUCUUGUUGCGGAUGGUUGUGAGCCACCAUGUGGUUGCUGGGAUUUGAACUCUGGACCUUCGGAAGAGCAGUCGGGUGCUCUUACCCACUGAGCCAUCUCACCAGCCCUGGAGGUGUCUUUAAAGUGGGUGUUGAGGCCAGAGAGAUGGCCCAGCAGUUAAGAGCUGUUAAAAGCAUGUACCACCAUUGCAGAGGGAUUGGACCCCAAUAUUUAGCACCCACGUAUGGUGCCUCACAGUCCUGGAUCUUUUGCCUAUCGGAACAUUACAUAAAGGAUUAGAAAAGCACUUCAAAACACACCAAGAGUUCUUUUUAAAUUAUUAACUUUAAAAUUACGUUUGUCUGUUGUGUAUGCACAAAUACAUACAUAUGUGUGUGUUACGCUAUACACGUGGAGGUCAGAGGACAACUUUUAAGAAUUGGUUCUCUUCUUCCACCAUAUGGGUCUUGGGGAGAGAACUCAGUCAGGCUUGGUAGCAAACAUCCUUACCUACUAAGCUAUCUCACCAGCCCACUAAAAGGAUUUUUUAAGAUUUAUUUAUUUAUUUAUUAUAUGUAAGUACAUUGUAGCUGUCUUCAGACACUCCAGAAGAGGGAAUCAGAUCUCGUUACGGAUGGUUGUGAGCCACCAUGUGGUUGCUGGGAUUUGAACUCUGGACCUUCGGAAGAGCAGUCGGGUGCUCUUACCCACUGAGCCAUCUCACCAGCCCAAGGAUUUUUAAAGUAAAGAACAGAACCCAGCAGAGCCAGUCACUGGAGAAUAGAGUUGUGCCCAGACUUCCGGUCAGCAAUACCUGAAAUGUUGUGUAGCCUUAAGCAAGCCAUGUGACUUGAAUUUCAGAUUUAGAUGGUCUCUGUCUGUCUAGCUUUAGAAUUCUGGAGGUAUAGUGAGAAAGAAGCACUUUCAUGCUUUAGUGGGUUUGGAGCUGAGAUUCUCAUGGUCCAGGAGGAUCCAUGCCCCUCUCUCCAGGCUUCGAUUCUCAUCUUAAGGGCCGGUCACAGCAGUUCGGGCAAACCAUACUCAGGUUUGUGUGGGCUUGGAUAGCCAAGGUGGUUGUCUCUAUGUAUUGCAGCUUUGCUAUUGCUGCUUUCCAAGCGAGAGACAUUAAUUACAGAGAAAGUAGUCAUUUCCACCUGAAGCCUGAGAGAUGUGCCUCCUCUGCCUGAGUCCCUAAGCUGGUCCUGACUGCCGGGAACCCGAUAGAUCUGAGAUGGAAAAACUUAGAGACAAAACGGCAGCCAGAGUCUGUGUGCUGCCCUGCUUAGGCCUCUGAGCCAGCCCUGUAAGUGUGGCUGGAGGUGGCUUCACGAUACCCAUGUCUCUUUCACCGACAGGCCUCCGACAUGCUCCAUCCACUGCAGGCUGUGUCAUGCUGUGUCAUGCUGUGUCAUGCUGUGUCAUGCUGUGUCAUGCUGUGUCAUGCCUUGGGACUUCUGAACCUGUGGACAUGUUAGCACAGAAAAGCCAUUAUUGGCUAUUAACACCUUAAACUGUCUUUUAUGGGGUGUGAGUCAGCUUAGUCAUGCUCGGUAGAAAAACAGGGAAUAGCUCUAGAACCUGGCAUUACCUGGGAAGGGUGGGUGUGAAUUCUGGUGGGGCCCCAGCCCCAGCCCCAGCCUCAGAGGCAGAGGUGGGUACCUCUAGUGAGAGGAGAAGGAGCUCAGGGCUGUGCUGGAUUCGAGCAGGUAGGAUUUAGAAGCACCCUGGACAAAGGGCUGCACUGGCAGAGCCUCAGAGGCAGGCAAGCACCAUCUAGAGCUUGCCUGGGAAAGAAGAAGUCCGGGAUAGACAUGUGUGAGAGGAACACACAAAGGGAGGUCAAGGAAGGUUUAGUGGAAAUGCCAUGGGCAAGCUCCCAAGUGCCAGACAGAACUGUUUGUUCAACAGCUUGCUGGUCAGGAGCUUCUCCUAGAUGCUAAGUGAAGCUGAGCGUACCGCUGGACUGGCAGAUGAACUCAGCAGCGGGUGGAGAGAUUCCCCCGUCCCGCCUUCCUCGGUCAUCGGGCCAGUUCUGUCUUCCAGACAAGUUGCCAGGAGGUAGCUGAAAAAAAUAAAAAUGAUGUUCCUUGAAAGAGAAGCAGCUUGGAUACCCAGGUCUGGAAAAGCACGUGCUUCAAAGUGAGAGCAGAUAAUGAAAAAGCUCCUCUAGCUGGAAAUGGGAGGGGCUGCUAAGAGUCCUCAAGUAUGGGUCUGCGUCAGACGCUAUGGUUACAGAGAAAGAAAGAGAACACCCUUGCUCAUCACUUGCAGGCAUUGUACAAAUAUAAGACUCUAUCUUCAGCUGAAACUUGGCUUUCACUAAUACCCUGCUACAAAGCUGUGGGAGUUUAUUGUGACCACAGACUCUUAUAUUGGAAAUAUUUAUCUAUGAGCAUGCAGCAGGGUGUCAGGGUAGGAAAUAUGACAGCUUUGUCCUACAGUCAGAACAC